rnacentral:rRNA from 1 species
AUUGAACGCUGGCGGCAGGCCUAACACAUGCAUGUCGAGCGGAUGAAGGGAGCUUGCUCCUGGAUUCGGCGGCGGACGGGUGAGUAAUGCCUAGGAAUCUGCCUGGUAGUGGGGGAUAACGUCCGGAAACGGGCGCUAAUACCGCAUACGUCCUGAGGGAGAAAGUGGGGGAUCUUCGGACCUCACGCUAUCAGAUGAGCCUAGGUCGGAUUAGCUAGUUGGUGGGGUAAAGGCCUACCAAGGCGACGAUCCGUAACUGGUCUGAGAGGAUGAUCAGUCACACUGGAACUGAGACACGGUCCAGACUCCUACGGGAGGCGGCAGUGGGGAAUAUUGGACAAUGGGCGAAAGCCUGAUCCAGCCAUGCCGCGUGUGUGAAGAAGGUCUUCGGAUUGUAAAGCACUUUAAGUUGGGAGGAAGGGCAGUAAGUUAAUACCUUGCUGUUUUGACGUUACCAACAGAAUAAGCACCGGCUAACUUCGUG